rnacentral:lncRNA from 1 species
CACCAUGGUGACUUGUAAGCAACUCAUUGUACUUUAAUAUCGAAUCAUUUGAGUUUUUAACUCAGUGAUAAAAAGUUACUGGGUGCAGUCAAGUACUUAUCAACUCGAUGUGUGAGUCAAGAUAGAAUUGAUCCCUCUGAAUUAGUAGGAGAUAUGCAUCAGUGUAUUUCAAUUUAGUAAAAUCUUGACUAGGAGAAUCCACGAGAUAGAUUUGAAAGGCUGAAAUAUAAUGUGAUUGACUAAAUUAGGAUUGACAAUUAAACCCUAGGUCACCUUGAGCAUUUGGGAC